rnacentral:rRNA from 1 species
UACGUAGGGGGCAAGCGUUGUCCGGAAUCAUUGGGCGUAAAGAGCGUGUAGGCGGCUCGAUAAGUCUGCUGUGAAAGUCCAGGGCUCAACCCUGGAAGGCCGGUGGAAACUGUCGGGCUAGAGUCCGGAAGAGGCGAGUGGAAUUCCCGGUGUAGCGGUGAAAUGCGCAGAUAUCGGGAGGAACACCAAUGGCGAAGGCAGCUCGCUGGGACGGUACUGACGCUGAGACGCGAAAGCAUGGGGAGCAAACAGG